rnacentral:lncRNA from 1 species
CGGGGAGGCGGCGCGGAAAAGUAAAGUGACAGCUGAGUCCCGCUCGCGGGCCGGGCCGCGGAGGGCGUGAGCCAGAAGCGUCCGACAGGGAAGGAACAGCAAGCACCCGGAGAGAAAAUAUCAAAGUUGGUGUUUAGUCCUUAUUCCUUGGCAGCUGGGAGCCAGAAUGCGGCAAUGUCAUCUUCCAUCCCUGAAAAGGAGUGGAAGAGGUUCCACUGCUUGACUGCUGAAGCUGGUUCCAACAGUAAGAAAACUAAGACUCAGAAAAACUAAGUUUUCAAAAGUCUGUCAUUCAAAUCAAUACUCAAAGCAAGAGCGAGAAUGAACACUUUUGAGUUGAAUCACGAUUCUUCAGAUUUCUUCAAAAGCGUAAUGGUCUUCUUCAUUUCAACAGGUAUUUAUAACAGUAAUUUUCAGUGAUUCCAAUUAGUUAGGUUGUGUGUAGUUGUUACCUAAAUAAUUACAGGCUUUUUCAGGAGUUGUUUAGCAUAUGCUCUUGGGGUCUCACUUCCUGUCUCCUUGGGA